AGUCGAGGGGCAGCGGGAUUGAAGCUUGCUUCAAUUGCCGGCGACCGGCGCACGGGUGAGUAACGCGUAUCCAACCUUCCGUACACUCAGGGAUAGCCUUUCGAAAGAAAGAUUAAUACCUGAUGGUAUGAUGAGAUUGCAUGAUAGCAUCAUUAAAGAUUUAUCGGUGUACGAUGGGGAUGCGUUCCAUUAGGUAGUAGGCGGGGUAACGGCCCACCUAGCCAACGAUGGAUAGGGGUUCUGAGAGGAAGGUCCCCCACAUUGGAACUGAGACACGGUCCAAACUCCUACGGGAGGCAGCAGUGAGGAAUAUUGGUCAAUGGACGAGAGUCUGAACCAGCCAAGUAGCGUGAAGGAUGAAGGUCUUACGGAUUGUAAACUUCUUUUAUAAGGGAAUAAAACCUCCCACGUGUGGGAGCUUGUAUGUACCUUAUGAAUAAGCAUCGGCUAACUCCGUGCCAGCAGCCGCGGUAAUACGGAGGAUGCGAGCGUUAUCCGGAUUUAUUGGGUUUAAAGGGAGCGCAGACGGGUCGUUAAGUCAGCUGUGAAAGUUUGGGGCUCAACCUUAAAAUUGCAGUUGAUACUGGCGUCCUUGAGUGCGGUUGAGGUGUGCGGAAUUCGUGGUGUAGCGGUGAAAUGCUUAGAUAUCACGAAGAACUCCGAUUGCGAAGGCAGCACACUAAGCCGUAACUGACGUCCAUGCUCGAAAGUGUGGGUAUCAAACAGGAUUAGAUACCCUGGUAGUCCACACGGUAAACGAUGGAUACUCGCUGUUGGCGAUAUACGGUCAGCGGCUUAGCGAAAGCGUUAAGUAUCCCACCUGGGGAGUACGCCGGCAACGGUGAAACUCAAAGGAAUUGACGGGGG
rnacentral:rRNA from 1 species